GCCAGACUCCUACGGGAGGCAGCAGUGAGGAAUAUUGGUCAAUGGCCGCAGGGCUGAACCAGCCAAGUCGCGUGAGGGAUGACGGUCCUAUGGAUUGUAAACCUCUUUUGUCAGGGAGCAAUUGGGUCCACGCGUGGGCUUAGCGAGAGUACCUGAAGAAAAAGCAUCGGCUAACUCCGUGCCAGCAGCCGCGGUAAUACGGAGGAUGCGAGCGUUAUCCGGAUUUAUUGGGUUUAAAGGGUGCGUAGGCGGAAUAUCAAGUCAGCGGUAAAAAUUCGGGGCUCAACCCCGUCGUGCCGUUGAAACUGAUGUUCUUGAGUGGGCGAGAAGUAUGCGGAAUGCGUGGUGUAGCGGUGAAAUGCAUAGAUAUCACGCAGAACUCCGAUUGCGAAGGCAGCAUACCGGCGCCCAACUGACGCUGAAGCACGAAAGCGUGGGUAUCGAACAGAAUUAGAUACCCCUGUAU
rnacentral:rRNA from 1 species